UAAUGUAUGGGGAUCUGCCCGAUAGAGGGGAAUAACUACUGGAAACGGUGGCUAAUACCGCAUAAUGUCUACGGACCAAAGCAGGGGCUCUUCGGACCUUGCACUAUCGGAUGAACCCAUAUGGGAUUAGCUAGUAGGUGGGGUAAAGGCUCACCUAGGCGACAUCUCUAGCUGGUCUGAGAGGAUGAUCAGCCACACUGGGACUGAGACACGGCCCAG
rnacentral:rRNA from 1 species